AGAGGCAUCACAUUACCCAACUUCAAACUAUAUUACAAAGCUAUAGUCACCAAAACAGCAUAGUGCUGGUAUAAAAAUAGGCACAUGACCAAUGGGACAGAGUAGAGAACCUAGAAAUAAAGCCAAAUGCUUAACAGCCAACUGAUCUUUGACAAAGUAAACAAAAACAAAGUAAGAAAAGUACACCCUAUACAACAAAUAGUGCUGGGAUAAUUGGCAAGCCACAUGUAGAAGAAUAAAACUGGAUCCUUAUCUCUCACCUUAUACAAAAAUCAACACAAGAUGGAUCAAAGACUUAAAUCUAAGGUCUGAAACCAUAAAAAUUCUAGAAGAUAACAUUGGAAAAUGCUUCUACACAUUGGCUUAGGCAAAGAGUUUAUGACCAAGAACCCAAAAGCAAAUACAACAGAAACAAAGAUAAAUAGAUGGGACUUAAUUAAACUAAAAGCCUCCUGCACAGCAUAGGAAAUAAUCAGCAGAGUAAACAGAUCACCCACAGAGUGGGAGAAAAUUUUCACAAACUGCAUUUGACAAAGAACUAAUGUCAGAAUCUACAGGGAACUCUAAUCAGCAAGAAAAAAAUAAUCUCAUCAAAAAAUGUGCCAAGGACAUGAAUAGACAAUUCUCAAAAGAAGAUAUACAAAUGGCCAACAAACAUAUGAAAAAAUGCUCAACAUCACUAAUUACCAGGGAAAUGCAAAUCAAAACCACAAUGCAAUACCACGUGUAAAAUAAACAAAAAGAGGGCCGGGCGCGGUGCUUUUAUCGUUGUCAACCCACACAGCAGAGGGAGCCAUUGAAAGCGAGUGAUCGGUUUGGAUGCACCUUCUGAAGUGAUCGCUUUGGUCCCUGUGAGGAGUGCAGAUUGUCACAGGGCCAGGGGAAGACAGAGGCC
rnacentral:lncRNA from 10 species